AAAAAGUAGUUAUUCUGUUCAUGAUAUAUAUAGGAAAGUCAUUGGUUGUAGCAUUCAAAUUCUUAAUAUAAUAAUAAUACAAAAGAACAAUUCAGACAUUUAUUCUGUCUACGUAUUUCGUGUGUAUUUUUUGACAGUCAAGAAAUGGCGCUUACAAUCAAUUCUUAUCCUAUCUUCAUCUUUCCUUUACUUUCUAUCUUUUUUUUUAUAUCUAUACUGCAACUUAUCACAGAUGAAACAUGGAUAAAAACCUGACAAAACAUUAUAUUUUGAUAUAUGAAGCAAUAUGUUAUAUGACAUUGAAAAUAUGUGACAAUGUAAUAUUUCCGAAACAAGGGAUAAAAAUGCAUUGAAUGUUAAUAUUCUUGUCAGUAAGAUAUUAUUGCAUUAUAUACAAACCUCUCAGUGGGAAAUGUUGUAAAGUAAAAUUUUUUUAUUGUAUAGGUAAGUGUACUUAUACAUAUAUUAUAACGAAGAAUAAUUAUAUAUCUUAUUAGAUAUUUAGAUUAGAUUAAUUAUAUACAGAUUUAUUUCGUUACAAUUGUAUCAUUUAUUAUGGUAUUAUUAUGCUAUAUACAGUAUAGUAGUAUUUUUGAAAAAUUCAAGAUUAUUGAUAUACAUACAUUAAUUUAUGAUAAUGAUGUGUUGAUGUACUGAAUAAGAUUAUUAUAUGUAAUAGUUUAUUUUAAAUAUAUUUGUGAAAAUAUGAUACAUAUUGUAUGAAGAAAUUUUCAUGUAAAUAUUAAAAAAUACAGAUAUUGUAAUUAUAUUUGUUGGGAUCAUACUUUGGACGGAAAUAACAUUUUUUGGAUAAACAAUUACGUUUGGGAAGACUAGGGGAACAUUUGUAGCUUUUUUUUCUUAUUU